rnacentral:rRNA from 1 species
GACAGAGGGUGCAAACGUUGUUCGGAUUUACCGGGCGUAAAGCGCGUGUAGGCGGCUUUGCAAGUCGGAUGUGAAAGCCCACGGCUCAACCGUGGAAGUGCAUCCGAAACUGCAUGGCUGGAGUCUCGGAGAGGUAAGUGGAAUUCCGAGUGUAGAGGUGAAAUUCGUAGAUAUUCGGAAGAACACCAGUGGCGAAGGCGACUUACUGGACGAUUGUUGACGCUGAGGUGCGAAAGCGUGGGGAGCAAACAGG